rnacentral:rRNA from 1 species
GUGGGGAAUCUUGCGCAAUGGGCGAAAGCCUGACGCAGCCAUGCCGCGUGGAUGAUGAAGGUCUUAGGAUUGUAAAAUUCUUUCACCGGGGACGAUAAUGACGGUACCCGGAGAAGAAGCCCCGGCUAACUUCGUGCCAGCAGCAGCGGUAAUACGAAGGGGGCUAGCGUUGCUCGGAAUUACUGGGCGUAAAGGGCGCGUAGGCGGACAGUUUAGUCAGAGGUGAAAGCCCAGGGCUCAACCUUGGAAUUGCCUUUGAUACUGGCUGUCUUGAGUACAGGAGAGGUGAGUAGAACUUCGAGUGUAGAGGUGAAAUUCGUAGAUAUUCGGAAGAACACCAGUGGCGAAGGCGACUCACUGGCCCGUUACUGACGCUGAGGCGCGAAAGCGUGGGGAGUAAACAGGAUUAGAAACCCCUGUAGUCC